AUAGUGCAUAAAAGUCAAGCCCUCUCAUUGUUUGCCAUCAUCAAAGCUUCAACCCACAUAUUCACGUGGCUCAAGAACCAAUUUCUACCCCUCCCCCCAACUCAUACAUAUUUCAGCUCACAUAACACUUAAACGCCAAUGUAGCCCAAGAGAUGACCCAACCAAUAACCACAAACGCCUACACCCCUACAGCAGCUUCUCCCUGCCCUCUCCUACCAGAGCAGGCAUGUCCCUGCUCUCCUGGUCUACUGAAAACCGCCAGAAGAACGCAUCUCUAAAGACAGGGAGCCAAAAGUUCCAAGCUGAUUAAGACCACUUCCCUCUCUGAGUCUCCUCUGAGUUUCCCUGUCUGGACAGUGACUCCACUGGCCCCAACCAUCUGCACACCUACCUGAACCUCAGCCUCCAAAUGACUCCGGAGAGCAGAUCUCUCGACCCCAGCAACCUCAUUCCAGGUAAAGCUGGCUGGCUGUCCAACAUGAUUAGCUGCUAAGGAAGGUAGAGAACUCUGAAAAUUGAGUCUCAUUCACCUUAACAUUUAGAACCUUCCAAAUGAAAGCAGGCCAAGACAUCCCCGUUCACACCUGAGGUUCCCGAGGAGCUCUGUGUAAUAUGAAGAGCCACAGUGAAUUUUCAUGGAAUGUGAUUCCAGCUCACUUUAGGUGAUUAGGUUGAAUAACCUUAUAAAUAAGAUGCUUUUUGUGUGUUGGAGGAAGGGCACAAAGAGAAGACUAGUCCAAAAUAAAUGAUUGUAAGUAAUUUAUUCACCUUGAAGUACCAUUUGUUCUCACUCAACAACCUCGAGUUCCGGAGUUGAAAGUUUCAGUUGAAGAUGCUCAGACACGGGGUGGCAGUUCACAGGACCGCCGUGCACUGGAGCAAGCCGCCUGUGGCAGAGCUGUUCAGUGGCACUGGCCUUUCAUCUGAAGGCUUGUAAUGCUGCUACCUGCCGUGACCUGUCUACCAAGACCCAGCUGUGGUGUGAAAAACCUUUUUCUGAGGAGAUGCAACAUACAUGGCUACUCAGCCCAGAUAGGGAACCUUGGCAGACCAAAGUAUGCAUACCACCGAGUCCAACUUGGUGA